rfam:Schizophyllum commune H4-8 unplaced genomic scaffold SCHCOscaffold_2, whole genome shotgun sequence.
GGGCUCGUGGUACAGUGGUAGCACGUUCGCUUAGCAUUCCUGCUUGUGCGAAAGGUCCUGGGUUCAAUUCCCAGCGAGUCCA